rnacentral:rRNA from 1 species
UACGGAGGGGGCUAGCGUUGUUCGGAAUUACUGGGCGUAAAGCGCACGUAGGCGGCUUUGUAAGUUAGAGGUGAAAGCCCGGGGCUCAACUCCGGAACUGCCUUUAAGACUGCAUCGCUAGAAUUGUGGAGAGGUGAGUGGAAUUCCGAGUGUAGAGGUGAAAUUCGUAGAUAUUGGGAAGAACACCGGUGGCGAAGGCGGCGCUCUGGACCGAGACUGACGCUGAGGCGCGAAAGCGUGGGGAGCAAACAGG